rnacentral:lncRNA from 1 species
UUUUUUUAAAUAACGGUCUUCUUGCUAUUAAGUUAUUUCCAAUAUUGAAAUUUUUGAUUUGACGGUUGACUCCUUUAGACUUGAUUUAGAAUAUUAAAAUAUUUAGAAUAUAAAUUUUAUAAUUUUUCAAUAUCUUUUACUUAAUGGUCAAAAUGAUUCAAAAUCAAUGACUGAACGUAAAAAUCUUACAAAGAAUGAUGAUAUAAAACUAAAAUUUUAGAUUAAAUAUAUUAAUCUUAAUUAUUUUAUACAGUAUAAUUUUUUUAUUAAUAUUUUACUUGAUUUAGAUAUUUUUACAUAUAAACUUGCAAAUGGCUCAUCACGACUGUUAAAAUUAUUGAUUAGGGGCAUCUUCAAUCAUUAGGUAAGUGAAAUUGAAAAAUUGUGAAAUUUACUUUUUAGGCACUUUAAAUAUUUUAGAUCAAAUCUAACGGACACGAUUAUCGAUUCGAAAGUGCUAGCAUCAAUAACGACUUGAUAUAAUGGAGACCGUCGUACUUCUAAAAGCACACAAACCUAAUAUUUUCUCUCCAUAUAGAAAGAGAGAGUAAAAGUAGAAUACUAUUGAUAGUGUGGCAGUAUGAGAAUAGUGUUUACUAUUAACUUUUUGACCAUUAGAUAUCUAGAGUUUAGGAAAGGUUGGUAAAAUAGUGAUAAGCCAAGGGUGAAAAAAUUGAUAGUAAAUACUAUUUGUAUACUAUUAGUAGCAUACUCCAAUGUUUUUUUUCGGAGCUGAAAUACUUUUAUAAGU